CUUCAACGAGCCGAGCCAGAGCGGUUGUUCACGGUCGCGUCCGUAGGUGGCGAGCAGCGCCUGGGCCUC
rfam:Streptomyces sp. DSM 15324 genomic scaffold PRJNA299231_s022, whole genome shotgun sequence.